UACGAAGGGGGCUAGCGUUGCUCGGAAUCACUGAGCGUAAAGCGCACGUAGGCGGAUCGUUAAGUCGGAGGUGAAAUCCUGGAGCUCAACUCCAGAACUGCCUUCGAUACUGGCGAUCUUGGAGUCCGGGAGAGGUGAGUGGAACUCCGAGUGUAGAGGUGAAAUUCGUAGAUAUUCGGAAGAACACCAGUGGCGAAGGCGGCUCACUGGCCCGGUACUGACGCUGAGGCGCGAAAGCGUGGGGAGCAAACAGG
rnacentral:rRNA from 1 species